rnacentral:rRNA from 1 species
UACGUAGGGCGCAAGCGUUAUCCGGAAUUAUUGGGCGUAAAGAGCUCGUAGGCGGUUUGUCGCGUCUGCCGUGAAAGUCCGGGGGCUCAACUCCGAUCUGCGGUGGGUACGGGCAGACUAGAGUGAUGUAGGGGAGACUGGAAUUCCUGGUGUAGCGGUGAAAUGCGCAGAUAUCAGGAGGAACACCGGUGGCGAAGGCGGUUCUCUGGGCAUGUCCUGACGCUGAGGAGCGAAAGUGUGGGGGAGCGAACAGG